rnacentral:rRNA from 1 species
GAUGAACGCUGGCGGCGUGCCUAAUACAUGCAAGUCGAGCGAACGGACGAGAAGCUUGCUUCUCUGAUGUUAGCGGCGGACGGGUGAGUAACACGUGGAUAACCUACCUAUAAGACUGGGAUAACUUCGGGAAACCGGAGCUAAUACCGGAUAAUAUUUUGAACCGCAUGGUUCAAAAGUGAAAGACGGUCUUGCUGUCACUUAUAGAUGGAUCCGCGCUGCAUUAGCUAGUUGGUAAGGUAACGGCUUACCAAGGCAACGAUGCAUAGCCGACCUGAGAGGAGGACCAGCCACACGGGAACUGAGACACGGUCCAGACGCCUACGGGAGGCAGCAGUGGGGAAUAUUGCACAAUGGGCGCAAGCCUGAUGCAGCCAGGCCGCGUGUAUGAAGAAGGCCUUCGGGUUGUAAAGCACUGUCAGCGGGGAGGAAGGGAGGAAAGUGAAAACCUUUGCUCAUUGACGUUACCCGCAGAAGAAGCACCGGCUAACUCCGUG